AAAAUCAUCAAAAUAAUUUUGCACUAGCAAAAUCUCAAAAUGCCUUCUUGUAAAAAAAUGAGUGUUUCUUCACUCCAAAGACUUCUAACUCAACUUUCAAAGCUUCUAACAAGUAUGUAGACUCCAAUCAGCCUCACCAUCAAGUUUUCUAACUCAUAAAAUUUACUUUCUCUUUAAACUUCUGCAAUACCAAAGACAUUAUCAAGGUCUUUACAUAAGGUCUUAAUCACUCAAUUCUAGGAAUUAAGAACUUCAAACAAAAGUUAGGGAUUUAUAAGGCCCAAAUCAGAACCUCCACAAGCCAAAACACAAGAUUAGACCAUACAAACCAUAAUAUUAACAAACACCAUAAGAUCUAUUCCACACAAGAAUAACAACUAGCAAAUAACUUCAACUUAUUUGAGAAGCACAAUCAAGUAUGUGUGGGCCAAUAACCUAUUGAAAAAAUACAAUAAGCAAGACACAAGUAAGUAGAAAUCAACAAGAUUAGAU
rnacentral:lncRNA from 1 species